rnacentral:lncRNA from 1 species
GAGGAGGACUUCUCCGGAGCACCUCCGAUCAUGUGACAGCCAAAACUUCCUCCGUGGACUUUCAAGAUGCCCACCUUGUGAAUCCACUAAAUUGGAUAACCCCGAGCGACCCCCAGAACCAGCUUGCUUCAGUUCUGUGGCUCCGAGAUGGCCAGGGAGUCAGAGAUUAGGUAUGUUGCUAAUGUUCUUUGAAGUCUGAGAGUUACUAUUGCUGGACAAAAGGCCAUUACCACGAACCGGCCAGAACACGUUAAGACAAAAGCAACGAAAAUAGAAGAGUGACAAACCAAGCCACAGUGACUCUUUGGGAGCAAGUCACGACCUUUAAGCGAACGUCAAAACGACCACAAUUGUGCAAGCAUACAGUUUUAGAAGCAUGGUUUGGGGUAGGCACUCUUCAAGACCCCAGGCUCUCAGUUGUGUAGGUGGUAGCAAGUCAGUCAGUGGUGGGUAAGGGCUCAGGCUCUGGAAUGAGACAAAACUAGUUUCAACCAUACUUUUACCACUUGUUAGCUGUGUUGCUGCUGCUGCUAAGUCGCUUCAGUCAUGUCCGACUCUGUGCGA